CGGAGUGAAAGGGGAAGAGCCCAGCGCUGAAUCUCUCGGUCUUAGGCCGCUGAGAACUGUAGCGUAUAGGUGUGACUGUCCUGCUAUAUUGCAUUUCCGAAGUCUCUUUGAUAGGGGCCAACAUCCAGAGAGGGUGCGAGACCUGUACGGAAAGUAGUAUAGUUGGUAUGGUUACUCCUUGGAGUCGGGUUGCUUGAAAGUGCAGCCUAAAGUUGGUGAUAAACUUCAUCUAAGGCUAAAUAUCGACGCGAAAUCGAUAGCAAACAAGUACCGUGAGGGAAAGUUGCAAAGAACUUUGAAGAGAGAGUUCAAGAGAACGUGAAAUCGCUGAAGUGGAACCGGAGAGAGUUAACAUAACUUGGUAGCUAUAUCCUCUAAAGUCGCUUAACUGUGGCUCUGGGGGGUGGACGCUACCUGUUGUUGCACUGACUGCGUUGAUUGUGCUUUCCGAACAGUAUAGUGUUGCCCACUUUGUGGUGUCUUGCUUUCUGGGAGGUUUGUCAUAAUUAACGUAAAGCCAAUUCCCUUUGGAGUCAGUGUGAAAGUUAACCACCUUUCCGACCCGUCUUGAAACACGGACCGAGGAGUGUAAUUUAUACGCGAGUCAAGGGGUGGUGAAAACCCUAGGGGCGGAAUGAAAGUAAAGGCCGGUUAACCGGUUGACAUGGGAUCCGCUCUUCGGAGCGGCGCACCAUGGCCCUGUCUUGUCUGCUUGCAGAUGGGCAGCGGUAGAGCGUAUAGUUUGCGACCCGAAAGAUGGUGAACUAUGCUUGAGCAGGACGAAGCCAGAGGAAACUCUGGUGGAAGUCCGUAUCGGUUCUGACGUGCAAAUCGAUCGAUAGACUUGGGUAUAGGGGCGAAAGACUAAUCGAACCGUCUAGUAGCUGGUUCCCUCCGAA
rnacentral:rRNA from 1 species